GACCCGUUAGCUCAGUCGGCAGAGCACCUGCCUUUUAAGCAGGGUGUCCGGAGUUCGAAUCUCCGACGGGUCA
rnacentral:tRNA from 1 species